ensembl:lncRNA
AUGAGACAGGGCUAGAAAGAGAGAAUAAGAAGCAGAGACAAUCAAGGGCAAAAGAGGGACAGGUGAGGGAAUGAAAGGGGAGACAGCUGAAAGUGAUAAUGAGCGGAGGAGUGUGCGUGAUAGAGUGAGUAAGUGAUCACAAGAGGGAGACAGAGAGAGGGGAAAAGACCAGGAUCAUGACACAUCACUUCAUUUCACAUCAUGUUCUUACUAAAAAAAGUCACACUUGAUCUGCCACGGUGGUUCCCUGUGCCAUUGGCUCCACUGAAGUUGUCAACUGCUCCACUGUGGGGAUCUUUGGCCCAGUCUGUACUACUGUGGGGGGUCUUCAGCACAGCCUGCUCCACCCCGGUUUCCUGCUCUGCCAUGCCUUCCUGCUCUGCUAGCUCCAUCAUGGUUUCCUGGUCUGUUGGCUCCACCAUGGCUCCAUGCUCCUCAGGAUCUGACCUGGUGUUCUCCGGAUACACUUCUUUAUGGUUUGUCACCGCUCCAUGGCCCAGGCCCUCCACCUGCACAGUCUGCCACUGCUUCAUGGCCUAGGUCCUCCAUUGUCCCACUGUCUGCCACUGUUCCAUGGCCUAGGUCCACCAUUGCUAAUUGUGUACCAUUUCAGGUCUACCUGUACUUUAUGGUCCAGACUAUGAUUCUGAACUUGUUCCCCUGCUUGGCCUUGGCCCAUCAUUCCUCCCCCUAUUCUGCCCCUGCUUUACCACCCUCCUGGACUUUUGGGGUUUUGCUAAUUUUUUUGGGUUGCUGUUUCAACGUGGUUGCAUCAGGUUCCGCCUUAGAGGGGGAGAUAAGUAGCAUGGGUUUUGUUUCAUGUUUGAAUUUUCAUUUACUUUAUUUUGUAGUUUAGUCCUGAUUCCUGGUUGUCAUAUGGUUCCUUUACCCUGUCAUAUGAUCAUGUCAUGUGGUCCUUUUGUUCAUGUGUCAUGCUUUCAUUUGUUUAUUGGGAUUUUUGGCUUCAUGCAGCACUGCAAAGAUCGGCUGUCACCUGAUAAAAGCAAUGCAUUCUGGUUAGAACAUAGUCCAACUUUGAUUGGCGCUACAGCUGCCUUACGAUCACAUGUGCCAUCAGAGUACCGUGAGAGCAAAACAAAACCAGCCACCAAAGUCAGGCACUGGAGUUGCUUAAAAUUGGCUGUGAGACUUUGGUGAUGACAUACUUUAUUCUCAUUGGUCAGAUUCUGUGAUGAAAAGCAUGAUGUGUGUUGCAUGUUUAUUCUAACAAUUAAAUUCCAAUAAUAGUCACAAAUCUCAGUUUUUAUAACAUUAAAAGCUUUUUCAGUGUAGUUGCACUGUUAUAUUUAGUCAUUUUUAUCAAAAAUAAUGAUAAAAGCAUAUAUACCCCGACUUUAUCAGUAUUCAGUAGCAUAUUUGUUUAUAUGCUGAACUUUAUUCGUGAAAAGAUGACACUGUAUUAAGCAGUGUAUAAAAAGUGUUUCUGUCGCUCAUAAAAACUUCCUGUGUAUUUGACAAAUAUUGUAUUUAGUUCAGUUUAUCUGUGAUAAGACUAUGCAAACACUGUGAAAGCAUCACUACUGGGAGCAGAAAAUGUCAAACUUGACGUCUCCAAUUUUUAUUCCG